GAGACCCUCAUUCAGUUGGUCUUCCUUGAAGGAGUGGGUUUGAAGAGUCUCCUCCUUAGACUGGCAAUCUAAGUAACAUUCCUAGGGGACUGAGACACCUUGCUGACCCGCAAGUUCAGGGAAGGCUGAAGGUAGCUUGACAUCUACUGAAUCUUCUGAACAACCUUCUCCAAGUGUCUGCCUGGAGGUAUGUCCUCUGAGGGUGAGGAGGAGUGCCCACAUCCCAUACUGGGUAAGAUGAGCCCACCCUGAGCUGAUAUUGUGGUUUAUUCAGGAUGGUAACCUCCACUUGCACCUUGAACUUGCCCAGCUCAGGCAACUUAUUAGAGAAAGGAUGUACCACCACCAGCCAUUGGAAAAAGAAGGAAAAAUAGUUUAUCUUAAAAGCAUGCUCUCUUCUCCCCUGGUGAUCCCAAGGGUGGGAUGCCGGGGCAGAAGGCUGUGUUUCACAGAGGACACAUAGCUAUUCUGGGAACUACAAGGCAAGAACUAUUUCUGUCAUCCAGUCUGGGCAUUUGACUUCAAGCCUUGGUGUCUGCUCUGAGCAGAAGCACAGGAGGGGGCAGAGAGGACCAGGCAGAGCGAUGAUGCAGUGUUGCUGCUGGAUUAGCAAUAGUAUUAAUUCAAUAUUGUACCAAAGACCAGCGGGCUUGCAGCUGUCAUACCCUGUGGAGCACUGGCAGCCACGUCCCAUGGAUCUUGGUUCCAUCAGCCACCAGAUAUUCUUUUGGAAAUACCUGUAAGAGGUUGAUAUAUUGCUCUGCAGAACACUAUAAUUCAAUCCCAUUAUUAUGACCGUUCAUGUUACAGUAAGGCGUGAAGGUCUCAGCCAAGAUCAGAGCUGAAAACCUUUACAGCAAGAAGUGGUGCCAAUGCUCUCAGAAGUUGCUGCUUCAGUAUCAGCUUCACUGCUGCGUGUAAAUGCCGUUUCACAUUCAUGUGCAAGCUUGGAAACUUGAAUUCUGCAUUUAGAUCUUGCUCACAGCAGUGGUUCGGGAUUAUACCAGUGCCACCUCCAGCUUCUAAUAUAUUUUUAAUAGAUUCAUAGAUUUUAAGAGCGAGAAAGGAACCAUUAUAUCAUCUAGUAUCACCUCCUGCAUCUUGCAUGCUCAGGCUGUAAAAUUCACCCAGUUAUUUUCUGUUGAGUACUGAAGAAUAUCUUCUAGAAAUGCCUCUGUCCUUUAGCUGGGGAACACUUUGCCCCCUUCCCCUGGAAAUCUGCUUCAGUGGUUAAGCACCCUCACUUUUCCAAAACUGUAUGCUAUUUUAUUACUCAGAGAAUUUGGUGUCAAGAACUUUCUAACCACUAGUUUCUCCAAAGCUUUUCUCUACUGGUCUAGAGAUGCCUUGCCUUACUGGCAUUUUUAGAUUAAACUGCAAUUACUUCAUUUACUUUUUUUUUUUUACAUGAACUGAGGAGGUAACAGAAGAAAAUGAUAAUACUGUAUCUUGUUUUAUUAACUCCAGUGAUCAUUUCCUACUCUCACCACAGUUGUCAUUGCUUUUGGUUCAAGUCAGUGACCUGAGACCUAAGGUUCUGAAUUUUUAUACUUGUAUAAACUGGAAGCAUUCCAGCUCCUGCCCAAUAUUAUUUCUAUUAAUACUGUAUGCUAUCAUACCUCCUAAUCUCUCAACAUUUUCUUUUCAAGAAAAGCCAGCCAUGAACUACAUCAUCUGAGUUAAUUGUGGACUGUCCUCUUCCCAUUUUUUUCAAAAUAAUUUGAAGAGUUUCUGAGACUUGGGCAAAAGCUCCCAGCCAAAGGUCACCAACAUGAGUGCUGAUCGGCCAUUUCCAUUACCAUAAAAUUGUCUGUCAGGAAGAGACAACUCUUCUCAGGGAGUAAAACAAGAUAAGAGCAAAGGAACUACCCUGUGUCUUGCCUCUGAAGUGGUCAGCUGUGAAUGUAGAAGGAAAUAAUAUAAAAAACAAUGCCCUUCACAUGCCCUCUCAGUUCCCUCACUUAGUGGUAAACUAGUUUUCAGGGAUGGAGAUUUGCCCAUUAUUAUUUAAUCCCAGUGGCUGGCCUCCUAUAAACAUUUGCCCAUUUUUGAACCCAAUCCUACCCUGCAGCAGAGGAGGUUCCCCAAUUUAAGUACACUGUAUGGAAAGCACGACAGUUCCCUUUUUGAGAUUUAAACCAGUCACCCCAAAAUAUGGUGUACCUCUUCAUUCCUGUUCUUUGAACAUAUUUUUCUCUCUACUUUGCAGUUUUCAUAGCUGUAGAGUUCCCCCUCAGCCCAGAAGGUGUUUUGUUUCUGAACAGACCAGGCAUACCUAUUCAGAGCUUUUCACACCCAAGAGAUUUCAGUCUAAUGUCCUGGUUACACUGGAGCAGGAAUCCUAUGGAUGUGUAGAACACCAGAGACAGGACAUCCAGAGGUGGUCAUGGGUCCAGAAGGUGAGCAUGCAAGAGGCUGUCUAGCUUCAAGGCUGGGGUUAAAUAUGAUUUUCAGUCUGAUUGAACAGCAGCCCUACUUUUGUAGGUCAUGUUGGUUCCACCUGGUUUCACACCUCAGUUUUUCCUACCCAAUUAAUUCUCUGGAUGCACACUGCACCCACCAACAAUCUGCAGCAUGCCUCUGAAAACGUAUCUCUAGUAAUUACACAUUCACCUACGUAAGUGAAAAGCUUUUAUUGGCAUCUGAUGUGAUUUCUUUGUCAAAGACAAACAAUUUGUUUUACAUUUGGUAGGGAAGUGCUGGAUUUUAAGUGUAGCGAUCAUAGACGCAGCUGCCACCACCUUAUGUUCCAUUUCAAAUGAUUAAUAAUAUUUGUCACUUCCGAUGUGUCAUUGUUCUCUACUGCUGUACAGCAUGCUCUAAAUGAUGGCACUCUCUUUUGGAUUGGCCUGAUUAAUGAUGGAUGACUCUCUUUCAUUUUAUGGUAAGCCUCUUCUAACUGAAUGGCUUAGGUUAAAAGAGAACAACCUCCACCAAAUGUUAUGAAUUAUGCCGUCAUUUAAAACCUGUUUUCGGCCUCUUGUUGGUAACAAUUUAGUGACAAUACCUGAAGAAUUGAACUUAAUUACUUCUGAUCAUGCCCUGCUCCUCUGGAUAUAGAUAUACACUGUUUGGUUUUUUUUCCUUUAUGAUUUCAUUUUGUGCCCAGUGAUGAAAGCCUCCCUCUGUCAUUAUGCUUUAUGUCAAAGUGCUUUAUGUUCUACAACAGAUCAUUUCAACGCUGCAGAUGCCCAUCUUGCUCCUCAUGAAAACUGCUCAAAAUGCUACAAAACCCUUUAAUGAUUUAUCUUGUUUCCUAUUCACCCAUUUGAAGAGUUAGUUUGACGCAAUGGCUGCAGCACCAGCUUAUAACAAUGAGAUGGGUAUUCAGGCUAUACAUAGCUCUAUUGUUACGUGACCUGAGGCUUUGUUUUCACAUCAGUUGCUUGUCCUGUUACUUGCCAGCCUUGUUUAAUUAGCUGUAUGGUUCUGUAUGGCAAGGACUUUAGAACGUUAGUUAUUUGCUUAGUGCUCAGAACAAGGGUGCCUCUCUCUUAGGUAGUGUAAUGCACAGCAUAAAUAAUGCUAACAGUUUAACAGAAUAAAGCAAGGAUAUCCUCACAGUUUCCUCUCCUUCCUAAUUAAUAUUACCCUGGUAUUCUCUGUAGUUAGCAUUGGCAACCAUAUGCUAAUGGUAAUUGCUUACAAAAAGUAAUAGCAGAAGUUUAAGGGUUGACUACUGAAAUCAGUUACAGACCUGAAGAACAGGUUUCGUGCAUUAAAACCUGACCAAAGACAGCUUCUGCCUACAGAUGUUUCUCUAGGUGCCAUAUUUGCCACAACCGGUAAAGGAAUCUGCAGUAGGCUCGGUUGUCUCAUACUUCAGAACUGUCAACAUGAAAUGUAUAUAAAGAGCGAGACCAUGAAUCUUUAUACAGUCAGAACUGGUUUAAUGCAGAAGCAUUUUCUCUUCUGAGGCUCUGAUUAAGACUUUAUUUUCUCAGUCAUUCAAACCAUAAGCAGAUCCAACAUUUCUGGUCUUGAAAACAGACAUGGAAUUUCUUCUCACAAUACUAAAAUUUUGUCUUUUGGGCUAUCUCACUCACCUCCUUCUUCCCAUCCUGUCCGCAAGAAAUGAAGCGGCUUUUUUUAACCCUUUUUAAUAGAAGCAGUUAAUGCAGUCACCUAAAUUAAAGGCUUCUUUCCUUGAGUUCCUAUAGAAGUUAAUGUAAACACACGGUGAAAUUAGUAAAAAUUACUGAGCAGUUGCCUAGGAUGUACAAAACCUACAAGCUCUACACUGGGCUGCUCUGAGCAGCAUAAAAUGUAUUUAGGUCACCUCCUCCUACACUGCUGAACUUCCAAGAGUUUUCUACUUGAGAAAAAGAAUAAAAAAUGUUUAUUUUCAGGGAAAGGAAAUCUUUCCUUGGGUCAUGGGUUUUCCCCAGAGUUUUGGAUGGCAAUCAUUGCAAUCCUUUCUUUAUGGCUGACCUUCUGUAUCUUACUGUCUAAAGACGCUGCCCAAGACCACUGUGGAUUUCUGUUUUUAUUGGUGUAAAUACUCAAGAAAAGUACAUUUUUUCUUUAGGUAAGCAUACAGGCCCAAACACCAGGACAUAGCUAAAUCUUUCCAAUAUUAAUGAUAUAAUAUGCAGCACCCUGAGAAGCAGGGAAGUCCUCUUGCUAUGACAAACACAAUUUAAAUAAUAAACAGAAUAUAAAAAGGGAAGUGGACCAGGCAGAAUCAAGGUUUUAAAAAAAGUUAUAGUAAACUAGAACUAGCUUCUCAACAAUCAGUUCUAUUUUAUCCAUUUUACCCUUCCUUCUUGAAUCUUCUUGUCUGACACAUAUCCGUUGACUUCCAAGAGCCAAAGAAAGCGAAAAAUUUCAAAAAAAGCAUUUUUCUCCAUGAAAUCAACAGGUAUGACUGACAGUGCCCACGAACCAGCUCUGUUUAGUCAGAAAAUAUAAUUUUAAUACGGUAAUCUCAGAGUAUAUACAUGGCAUAUUGACUCAUGAUGUGUUACUCAAAUAUUGUAACGUGUUAUUGUAUUUGUGGAAAACUUCCUUCCUGAAGCUCAACUAGGCUCACGAUGUUUCAUGUUGACCUCGGAAACAGCCCACAGGCUUUCUGGUGAGCUCAUUUUUAGCCAGGUCUGACUCACUCGAGCUUUUUUACCAAAAGACAGAUUAAAUUAAUGGUGGUAGAAAUUUUCUUUAAUCAAAUUUGCUUGACCUUUAAACUCUAUAGGAAACCUUGGCUUUAAGAAACCAGAUGGCCUUCACAGAAUUAAGGUAUUUUUGCUUUCCUCCUACAUAAAAUGAGCAAAUUACAGACUUCAUUUCUCAGUCUAGACUGCUUUUAUUUUGGAGAACAAGGGAUGAAGAACCAUAAAAUGUCUAUGAAUGUGAGUGAAAGUACACAGUGAUUCACUGUAACAAUUUGCAGAACAACAUAAAAAUAGUGGUUGAAUCACAGCUGACCUUUCAGAAAAUGUAGAUCCUCAUCUACAUUUAAAAGGGUGCAGUAUACAAAAACCAGAGUGACACUGUCUUCAUUGUGUUACCCAAGUCCUGCAUCAGAAUUAAGGUAAUAGAAGGUUUUUUAUUCUGUAGGGUGCCAAACUAAAUUGAUCUAUUGUCUUUUUUUUUUUUUCUCCUCCAAAAUCUUAUACUCCCUCAGAUAGGUGACUUUAUUCAGAUUUUUGGGGUAGCUCCUUUAGCCCGGGUCUAAUUCCAGCAGAACACCAUUAUCACGUCUGAGGAAAUGGAGUGGACAUGGGAUUUUUUUUGUCCCCCCUUUUAUUUUUCUGAUGAGUCAUAUUUGGUGUUGCAGUCUGGAUCUGAGGAUAUGGUGCCAUAACUACUCCUUUCUCUCAUGCGGGUGAAAUCAAACACUGCUGCUCACCCAUUAAGCCCGCUGCGAAGUAGUUGAUGUACCAGCCUGCCUGAUGUGGUUUGAAUUCACUUUAAGUGCUUACUUCCCAAGGAGGAAAUUUGCUGUCUGGUUUUGAUGCAUUUAUUUAUAUGUAUAUGUAUGUGAAGAUCAAUGAUCUCAAAAGAGAGACUGGGAAAGACCUGGAAAUCCUCAGCUCUCACUGGAGAGGAAAAUCUGAACUUCCACACAUGAUCCAAUUCCAGCAGAUGAAGAAUGUGAACCCAGGUCUUCCACACCUCUGGAGAGUGUUUUAGAUACAGACUUACCAGCCCAAAAUUAAGAAUGAUCUUCCACAUCUCCAUGGCAUUUAGGAUAGGGAACAAGAUGCUCUGAGGAGAAGUUUUUCCCCAUAUAAAAAUAAGUAGAGGAGUUACUUUAUCUGUGCAUCAGAGCAAAGAGCAACAUUCCUACCUGGAAUGAUUUCCUCCUUAUAUGAAGAGCUGCUCAGAGGCACUCGCUCAGGUCCAGAAGCCACACAGCUGGUUAUCUCACCACUGCAAGAGGUCCAGCUGACACAACUGGAUCAUCUCAACUGGAGUGGAGGACAUUAGCUCUGAUAAACACACCGUGUGAUGUGCAGGUUUUAAGAUAAGAAAAGUGAGUUUUUCUUGGUCAAGAAUCAGAUGACACCUGUAGGUGAAUUUAAAGAAGUGCAGGGUUUCCAGAGACACCCUUGUCCUUCCUGAAACUGAUCUUCCUAUAGCACACAGGACACAUGAAGCCUUUGUCCACUUUCUGGCUGACUUCAUUAACAACUCUGCAUUGGAAGCAGUUUGUGAAGUUAGCUGUUAGUAGGUCUUAGAGAACUAUUUGAGUAACCAAUUAAAAAGAAUCAAUAAAGACAUGCUGUAUGGAAAAUUAAACAUGUUUGUAAUGAAGAACAAUAACACAGAACUAACAGUGGUGACUAUGCUACUUUUCUGUGUUAUCCCAUCAUUUGAGACAAUUACUGGUUUAUCAAAAUUGCAGUGAAAGGACAAAUUAAGCAUUAGUUGUACCAGUUAGGGUACAUUAACACCACAUUUGGUCACUCUGAAGGGAAGUGUUAUGUGGGAGACCAAAGAUACUAGACCAGCAAGGCAUGGAAGAGUUUGCCAUAAUUUUGCUCCUAUUAAAAGGCUGCUUAUUACAAUUGUAACAUGUUAUCGGUGAACUCUGAUGUAAAAAAUGUAUUUAGGUUAGGGUACAAUGUUCUUUUUUGUUCACCAUUGUGAAUUCUGUAUUCAUUAUUUUCUGCACUGGAGACAUUUCAGAAAUGUUUCAAUGCUUCCAAGCAUGUAAUAUCAUUUUCUCAUGGACAUGACCUUUCAUUACCAAAUCUGCCUUUGAGUGUUGCGACAUGUAUGCACACACCAUUUAUUUAUUCAUUCAUUCAUAUUUUAAACCUUCCAGUACAUUUAAAACAACAACAAAAAAAUUAAAACCAACCAACCAAAAAAUAAAUAAAUAAAAACACACAACAAAAACCCCACAACAAACAAACAAACCACAACACUCUUGGUUUCAAGAGAAUGGAUAAAUUCAGGAUUAGGGGAGUUCUGAAGUGAUUAAGACUUAAGGAAUGAUGGUUCUGCUACAAUGUCCACUUGAUAGUGGUCCUGCAAUACACUAUUAUAAAUGUAAACUCUAGUACCCUAGGAUGGAGUAUCCUUGAGAUCCAGCUGUAAAAAUUAAGAUCCACUUGCAAAAUCUUGAUGUCAAAGCUUGAUCUGGAGCACUUUUGCAGUAAGAAACCUGUAACUAAGUGUUACUUUAAUAAGGAUUUCCCAUCUUUCUUCAGAGUGAGUUGCAUCUCACUUUACCUCUGUAAAAAGUAUGUCUUGAAGCUAAGCUGAUCUAGACUCACAGAAGAUAAACCAACCUGAUAGAGGUAUUUUGGACUAGUGGGACAAAUUGCCCUUUGGAAGCUACCUCUCCUGUGAAGGGUUCAAGACAACAUCUUUAGUGGCAGAGCAGACAGUAAGCCAUGGAGGUGUAAUGAGAAACUGCCAGGUGAGAUGAACCUUAUCCUUCCUAAAUCACCUAGUGCUAAUUUCCAAUAUAGAGCUAGAUAAGAUUUUCUUCUAUGUGGUCUAUUAAGAUCACCCUCAUUUUUGAUGAGAGAGCAUUACUGACUGCCUCUGCUGGGCACAACAAGUUGCAGCCAGGCAGCUGACUAUCAGAGAAAUUAUGCUGUUCAUGUUCUAGCUGGAUGGUGGCUACUAAUUGGGUAGUAGCGCAAAUUACAUCUUGAC